GAUGAACGCUGGCGGCGUGCCUAAUACAUGCAAGUCGAGCGAACGGACGAGAAGCUUGCUUCUCUGAUGUUAGCGGCGGACGGGUGAGUAACACGUGGAUAACCUACCUAUAAGACUGGGAUAACUUCGGGAAACCGGAGCUAAUACCGGAUAAUAUUUUGAACCGCAUGGUUCAAAAGUGAAAGACGGUCUUGCUGUCACUUAUAGAUGGAUCCGCGCUGCAUUAGCUAGUUGGUAAGGUAACGGCUUACCAAGGCAACGAUGCAUAGCCGACCUGAGAGGGUGAUCGGCCACACUUGAACUGAGACACGGUCCAGACUCCUACGGGAGGCAGCAGUAGGGAAUCUUCCGCAAUGGGCGAAAGCCUGACGGAGCAACGCCGCGUGAGUGAUGAAGGUCUUCGGAUCGUGAAACUCUGUUAUUAGGGAAGAACAUAUGUGUAAGUAACUGUGCACAUCUUGACGGUACCUAAUCAGAAAGCCACGGCUAACUACGUG
rnacentral:rRNA from 1 species